GAAUAUCUGGUUCAACCAGGACGGAGUCAAUCAUCUCUUUCCUGACGAAUGAGAGGACUAUUAAGACCCCAUACCUGAGCUAUUACUGUGUACAUGGAGGAUGGCUCAAAACAGAUGCUUAACUUUUGGAAGGUGUGGAGAAAAUUCGACAUAUUCCCGCAACCAUUGUUCAAGGGCGCUAUAAUGUAGUUUGUCCUUUGGAAACGGCCUGGUUACUUCAUAAGAUAUGGCCUGAUGCUGACUUCCAUGUGGUACCUGACGCGGGGCAUUCUUCAAAAGACCCUGGCAUACUUCACUAUCUGAUUGAGGCCACAGACAAGUAUAAAAAUAUCUAAUCAGGGAUUGAUAAAAAGUACAAAUACAUAUAUGUAUUUUUGCUCGGUACAUACAUUACAUAUUCACUCAAACACAUCCUUAUUUACAGAUAUAUAUUUCUUUUUUAGAUACACACACAAGCAUGUAACUUUUUAUGAAUAAAGAUG